GAUGAACGCUGGCGGCGUGCCUAAUACAUGCAAGUCGAGCGAAUGGAUUAAGAGCUUGCUCUUAUGAAGUUAGCGGCGGACGGGUGAGUAACACGUGGGUAACCUGCCCAUAAGACUGGGAUAACUCCGGGAAACCGGGGCUAAUACCGGAUAAUAUUUUGAACUGCAUGGUUCAAAAUUGAAAGGCGGCUUCGGCUGUCACUUAUGGAUGGACCCGCGUCGCAUUAGCUAGUUGGUGAGGUAACGGCUCACCAAGGCAACGAUGCGUAGCCGACCUGAGAGGGGGAUCGGCCACACUGGGACUGAGACACGGCCCAGACUCCUACGGGAGGCAGCAGUAGGGAAUCUUCCGCAAUGGACGAAAGUCUGACGGAGCAACGCCGCGUGAGUGAUGGAGGCUUUCGGGUCGUAAAACUCUGUUGUUAGGGAAGGACAAGUGCUAGUUGAAUAAGCUGGCACCUUGACGGUACCUAACCAGAAAGCCACGGCUAACUACGUGCCAGCCGCCGCCGUAA
rnacentral:rRNA from 1 species